GGAUUAUAUAACAUCAAUCCUCUUGACCUCGAAAUUUCCUUAUUCAAAUGGCAAAGCGCCCACAAAGGAAGAAACAGGAGACGAGUGAGGGAAAUAGAAAGAAGUGUUGGAGAAGCCUCCCUGCCUCCUCCAUAGGAGAACAGGAUUUCUAGGUCUUGGUGGGUUUUCUUCAACGAUUUCAACAAUCAAAUCUCUUUUGGAUCAAUUCGAUUAGUGUUUGAAUGAUUUUCAUCACAUUGAUGUAAUUUUUGCUUUCAUUGAUUUUGGAUUCAUGUCUUUGAUAAGAUUUGUAAUUUUGAACGUGGUUUCGGCGUAGAUCCAUGGGAGAAUUGCGGAAUUGAAAGGAUUUACUUCCUGGGUUUGUGUGAUUGGUUUCUCUUUAUCUGUUGAUGUAUCUUGUUAUUAUUAUUGAAGAGGAGGAUCGGCUUGUGAACUUGCCCAAUUCUUUUCUGGGUGUUCUCAGGCCAUUGGAACUAUCCUUUGAACAAAAGGCCUUUUCAUUUUGUAUCCCUAGGGAUAGAUGGGAUAAGGAGUUCUUCAAGUUGCAGGGUGGCUAAUUGUUACUUCGUCGACUUCACAAAGUUCUUGGUACUAGAAUUUUGAUUGAAUUGGAAUUUUUUAGAUGGGUUCUACACAAGGGUCUACAUUGUCGACUAAUAUGGCAGAUUUAGUUGAUGGUUCACCUACUCGACGACAGUUUUCUUACUUCGAUACUAUGCCUGUUUAUGUUAAGGAGCUCAUCGCUGGUGGAGCUGCAGGAGGAAUUGCCAAGACUGCUGUUGCACCCCUUGAAAGGACUAAAAUACUCUUGCAGACAAGAACUGAAGGUUUUCAAUCUCUUGGGGUGUUUCAGUCCUUGAAGAAAUUAUUAAAGCAUGAGGGAAUUCUUGGCUUUUAUAAGGGAAAUGGAGCUAGUGUUAUUCGGAUUGUUCCUUAUGCGGCCUUACAUUUCAUGACAUAUGAGCGGUAUCGUGGUUGGAUCUUGAAUAAUUGUCCUGCUUUAGGCUCAGGACCUGUUAUAGAUUUAUUAGCUGGUUCAGCGGCUGGAGGAACAGCAGUUUUGUGCACCUAUCCCUUAGAUUUGGCUCGUACUAAACUUGCUUAUCAGGUCCUGGACAGAAGUGGAAGUUUCAGAUGUGGCAUAAAAAGUGUAUGUGCUCAACCUGCUUAUGGUGGCCUAAAAGAUGUACUUACAAGUGUUUACAAGGAAGGGGGAACACGUGCACUGUAUCGAGGAGUAGGUCCUACACUCAUCGGGAUCCUUCCUUAUGCUGGUUUGAAGUUCUAUGUUUAUGAGGAGCUUAAGAGGCACAUUCCUGAAGAGCAUCAAAAGUCCAUUAUGAUGCGUCUUUCAUGUGGAGCUCUAGCUGGGUUAUUUGGGCAGACCUUCACAUACCCCUUAGAUGUUGUUAGGAGACAGAUGCAGGUUGAAAAUUUGCAACCUUCAAUUCAAGGUCAUGUUAGAUACAGGAGCACGUUGGAUGGGCUGUCAACUAUAGUCCGCAAUCAAGGAUGGAGACAGUUAUUUGCAGGCCUGAGCAUUAAUUACAUCAAGGUAAUGCCUAUGCCAGCUUCAAUAGCUUACUGUUUUUUUCAGUUAUUAUUUAUGUAUUUAUGUCUACCAAUAAAUUAAUAUUAGUAAUUGUUUCGUGUGUGAUUGUUGAGACUUUAGAUAUAAUGACAAGGUUUCCCUUUAGGUGCUAUCAAUUGAUAAUAUUCUCAUCUAAUUUGGAAUUCUUUAGGAAUAAAUUGACCCUGGAUGAUCACAGGUCUAUGAAAUAUGAGAUGUAUUAGGAAGCUAACAAUUCAUGAGAAGAUUUUUUUUUAUGAUAUAAUAUUGUGUUCCUCAAAUCUAGAGACAUUAUAAGAGUGGGUGUUUUAUAAUCAUGUGAUUGUUUUAUAAUCACAAAUCUAUGGAUUCACUAAUGCUGACAAAGUUUCACUACUCAUUUGUCAGAUUGUUCCCUCUGUGGCUAUUGGCUUUACUGCAUAUGACAUGAUGAAGAUUUGGCUUCGAAUUCCACCCCGACAGAAGUCCCAAUCUGUAUCGACUGGAUAAAUCUCUGACCAAUUAUUAGCACACAGUAGACCGUGACAACUUAUAUUCAUUAGUAAUGCCUUAACAUUUGACGUGCAUAUGAUAUCAAAGGGCAUAGGCCCAUCACAAUUAUGUACUUGUGAUUAUCAAAAUGUCAAUUAGGCAGAAUUAUUUUGCGCAGAUCAAUUUAUGUGAACACUUGUAAUGGCUUUGCUACUUGACCAGUGAUAGUAAAACCUUAAAAGUUGGUUAGUUACAGUUAAAA
rnacentral:misc_RNA from 1 species